rnacentral:tRNA from 1 species
GCGGGAAUAGCUCAGUUGGUAGAGCAAAACCUUGCCAAGGUUGGGGUCGCGAGUUCGAGUCUCGUUUCCCGCU